UUUCCUUUGUUUUCUCUUAGCUUUCUUCUUCUUCUUAGCUUCCAUUCUUCUUCUUAGUUUUAUUUGGCAGCUUCGGAACCGAUUACCUUCUUUGCAUUCUCCGUUAUCCUCUCUGUGCGCCCGCCCCUUGCUUUCACCAUCCUCUCUGUCCUUCUGUCCUCUUAAUGAGUUUAUCCCUUUGAGAAAUUUUCCUCUUCCCUUUCACCCUCCUAAUCCAACAAAAAUUCUAUAUCCAAACCGCUUCUCAUGGAAUCUAUUAUAGCAAAAUUCAUAAUGCAGGCUAUAGUGUUAUUUUUGUUGUGGUUCAUGAAUUAGGCAUGGAGGUUAUAGACCCAUUCCAUGGCAGGGCAACUCGGAUGGCAGAUCUGAGGUUGGAACAAAUUUAAUAGUUUCCCUCACUUGCAUGCAACUAGGUUGCGGCCAUGCAAUUGCAAAUAUGAUAUAUUGAAGGGACUAAACACGUUGCAGGCCUUCCCUACUCACAUUGCAGAGAAAAGAUCAUACUUGUAGACAAGGAGAAUGAUCCUUUAUCUUGCUGUAAAACAUGCUUCAAUUGUUUUGAUAUUUGGAAAUGCAAUGACAGUUUCUUGCUUUCACAGUUUUUUUUUUUUUGGGAACAAUUUUGCUCUUAUGAGCUGCACAUGGAUCGACUAACUCUACAAGGAAGUUUGUUCCUUGCUUAUGAUUAAGUAUAUGUGAUUACAAUACUACUGCAACUUUUAUGCAGAAAUGAAAACAUUUCAUAUUUUACGAAGGCUGUCACACAGUAUCCUUUACCAGAUCUUGUAAGCUCGGUUCCAACUAUUGAGCUUCAGUGAAAUUCACUUCUGUCCGCGUGGGGCUCUUGGAUGGAACCUUGCACCAAUUACAGCCACACAAAUAGAGUUCAAGGGAACCUUGCACUCUGCUACAAGCGGCUGCCCAGUUGUUUUUUGAAUUCUUAGAAUGGUUAGAGGGUCCUUUUAGUUUUGCCUAAUUUUAAGCAUUCCUUACUGAUUAAUGCUAUAUUAAGAUGUUAGAUAACCUGAUUUCAAGGUCAUGUUUAUCUGUGUAAUUAGGAAAAAACACACACUCACACGCAUGACUACUAUAUCUCCUGAAGAUGCAUGCUAUAGUAUUGUAGUUCCUUUGUAAUUUAUUUGUUCUUUGUACCUUUUUUGUUUGAGUCAUUGUUGCCCCUUGUGAUCCGGAGAGGUGGGCCACCUUAGCUAUUUAUGAGUAUUAGUUUAGCCUUAGGUGUUUGCCAUAUUUUCCAAUCAUGCCAUUUAAUUUUCCCUUCAUUCAACAUGUAUGUUAUAUUUGCUUGGUUGUUUUGCAAUUUUGUUAUUUUUUAACCCUAAUUUUUGUUGACUUAUUGUUCUCUUUUGUGGACAG